CCUACGGGUGGCAGCAGUCGAGAAUCAUUCACAAUGGGGGAAACCCUGAUGGUGCGACGCCGCGUGGGGGAAUGAAGGUCUUCGGAUUGUAAACCCCUGUCAUGUGGGAGCAAAUUAAAACGAUAGUACCACCUGAGGAAGAGACGGCUAACUCUGUGCCAGCAGCCGCGGUAAUACAGAGGUCUCAUGCGUUGUUCGGAAUCACUGGGCGUAAAGCGUGCGUAGGCUGUUUCGUAAGUCGUGUGUGAAAGGCGCGGGCUCAACCCGCGGACGGCACAUGAUACUGCGAGACUAGAGUAAGGGAGGGGGAACCGGAAUUCUCGGUGUAGCAGUGAAAUGCGUAGAUAUCGAGAGGAACACUCGUGGCGAAGGCGGGUUCCUGGACAGUAACUGACGCUGAGGCACGAAGGCCAGGGGAGCGAAAGGGAUUAGAUACCCUAGUAGUC
rnacentral:rRNA from 1 species